UUUUUGGUUGGAGUGAGGAUAGUUUUAAAACUUUCAUGUGACUUUACUGAGAGGCAUCACCGUUUAUUCUGAGAAGGCCCUCAACAUCUCUAGUUGAGGAGGAUGACAUUUUUAGUUUAUUUGCAGAAUCUCUGAACUAUAAAGAAUCAUCUUAUUCAUUUCUUUCUCCUAUGUUUCAGAGUUUCAUUUCUUGUCUGUCUAUUACUUCAGAUGAAUUAGACAUCUUAAAUUUCCUGGAGGGGGUAAGAAAUGAAUUGGGCAUACCUAUAAUAUAUCAGCAGGACUUAUGGGUAUUAAGAACAGAGAAACAAUAAAAAAAUGAUUUUGGCUCUGGUGAACUUGCAAGAUUAUCCUUACACAUCGCAUUUGUAAUUGAGUGGAACCUACUUUUGAGAAAUGCAUAUAUGGCCACUCAAAUUGCCAGUAAAUAGUCUG